AUAUCCAGCCAACAGCGUCCUGUGGGCAGCAUCCUGUGACCACUAGAACAGACAAAAUAGAAACUAUAGUGCUAUAAUGAUAAUAAUAAAAAGAAUAAUAAAUUGACAACUAGACUGACUUUUGUUCCAUGUUUUCCAAACUGCAAUGCACUAAAACCAACUAAACAGGUCUAAUUAUGCUUAAUUGGAAAAGAAAAGUUUUUCAGUGUUUUUUAAGGACUGACAAUAUCGACGGACUGCUGACCAGUGAGCUCCAGAUAGGCUCCAACAUUCCCUCCACAGUGUUCCAGAGGGAUAAGUGGCUUAGAUGAUAACUGAUAAGAAUAUUGACAACAUGCUCAGAAAAGCGUAUUGUGACAGGAUAUAUCACAAACAGCCCUAAAUUGCUCAGCCCUAUGGAUAGCAAGAGUUCAGUCUUUAAAACCUCCAGCAGCACUGCUGUGUCUGAUUUACUCGUACCAGUGCAAUACACCAUUACCAUGAAAAUGAGCCACCGCCUAAAUAAUACCUGCUCUGUGGUGGUCCUGAACAUUAAAGCUCAGGAUGAAAGGGAGCUGUACUUAAUGAAGUGUCUGGUUAGUAUAAACUUACAGGGAUGAUGAUCAUUUUUAUAAUAAUAUUGAUUAUAAUAGCACUUCUGAAACAGUAAAGCAGCUAUGGGGGCAAAUAAAGGUAAAGCAAAGGGGGAAAAAACAUGGUUUACCCAUUUACCAUGGCUACCCAAAUAAGAGGAUCCGGUUACUCACACGGGCCUACCUUACUAAUUAGCUGAUGAGCUGAGUCAGGUGUGUUUAAUGAGACAGUGCUGUGGUCUGGAAAGGAACCUAGUUUUUUAAAUCCCUUCUAUUCGCCAUUUCUUGUUGUUCAGGGAGACUCUUUUGGGCUUGGCUUUAAAUACAUAAAUGACUUGGGGUCAUUCCGCUAUUUUCCAUUGGUAACAGUCUGGCAAGGAGUUAAAGAAAAAAGCCGAGGAGUAAGCCACACACAAUGGCCCAAGAUGAGUUGGCCUGUUAUGUUACAGGAGUUUGCUAAUUAGCUUCUUCCUUCCAUGAAUAAGAGUGACAGCCUUGGGAGAGCAUGAGGCUGACUAUGCAAACCAAGUCCUUUCACAGCAUCAGCAUGCAGCUGCUUUUCAGGUGACUUGUGAUCAUCAGCACCUGAUAAGUAUUGAUUCAAAAUGGCCUGGCUCAGUAUACGAUUCCCAGAUCAUCAGGACGUUCACAGUGUACCGGAAACUGGAUCAAGGUAGAAUAGAAUGGGUCUGUGCCUCUUUCAUCUUUUGCACCAGUAUCUGUCACAGAGAUGCCAAUGGUUUCGGCAGUACUACUCUCCCUUCUGCUGUGCAAAUGUAGCGGGUGUUCGCUGAUUGGACUACUGUGCCUGGCUUCCACCGUCCCUGUUCCUGGAUUCUGACUGCCUCACCAGGAUGGAGCUCUGGUAGUGGUUGCACUGACUGGUCACCUGCCACGGUGCACAUUUUGCCUGUAUGUCUCUGGAGUUCACAGUCUUUGGUUGUAGCUGUUGGUCAAUGUUUCUAGAGAUUAUAGAGUGACGUCUGUGACCCAUCAACAGUUGUUCCGGGGACUUGAAGUUAUCAACAGGUGUGUUUAGUUACUCAAGCAAGCUGAAGAAGGGGUCUCUCUUAUUUGCUUUUGCCUUAUCCAGAAGGGAUUUUGCAAUGUGCAUUUUUUUUCGGCAAUGCCGUUGCCCUGUGGGUAAUGAGUGCUUGCCAUGGUCUGAGUGAAGCCCCAGGUUUCUGCAAAGACUUCAGAUUCAGAUUCAGAUCGUUUUUGUAUUGUGGCUGUUAUCUGACAUAACCUGAUCAGAAAUGCCAGAAAUGCUUUGAGCUUAUGAAUGACUGCUGUUGAUGUCCCAUUCAAAGCAUCUGCUGUAGUAGUCAACUGUCACAGUGUAGUCCCCAUUAUUCCAUGUGAAAAUAUCUAGUGCCUACCUGGCACUGUCUGUCCGGAAUUCUGUGGGUGAUCAGAGGUUCUUUGGCAUUAGAUGGACAGUGUUCUACACAGACAGCGCACCUUCCAACAAUGUCCUCAUGUUACUGCACAUUCCUGGCCAAAGCCUGAUAUAUAUGGCCAGUAUGGAUCUGUGACUGCACUCCUUUCUCAGUGAAGGUGGAAUAAUUAUGUUCUCACCUUUGAGGACAUUUUGUCUUUCAGCAGGCCAGCCUUCAUAGAUGACUUUCAACAGCAGAACAAAUUGAAUGUCUUUCUUCAUUUCACUCUGAAUUUCUUUGAGCUCAGCAUCACUCACUGGUAGGUUGCUAUGCACCGUGUGCAACUGUAUUUCCAUGCCUUGCAUGCCAGCUCAUCAUGAUGUCGGGAAAGGCAUUUCAGAAGUGUGCCAGUGUCAGUGAUGUCUCUGCCGGGUGGGUAAGUGAUUGUGAAGUCAUACUUUUGAAGCUGAAGAAUCGUUCUUUGAAGUCUAGGUGGUGCUGCGGCAAGAGGUUUUGCCAUGAUGGACUCGGGUCGCUUAUGAUCACUUUUGUGCUGAUCUUAUGGACAUAUUUGUAAUGAUGAAAAUGUUUACAGCUGAAUAGGAUUGAGUACAGUCUCUUCUGAAUUUAGGCAUAAUUGGUCUCGCUCUCAGUAAUCUGGAUGCAUAGCUGAUGGGCUGUCCUUUGUGCAGUGAUACGGCUCCAUGUCAGUGCUUUGAAACAUCUACCUGUAGCCUGAGGUCUUUUUCUACAUUAAAGUAUGCGAGGACUGGUCCAAGUGAUUAGGCCUUUUUUUCUGGAAGGCUGUUUCAUGCUUUGUGUCCCAGACAAAUUCACUGGAUUGCUUAGCUCAAGUGGUGCAAAUCUGGCUAGAGAGUUAACCAUGACCAGCACUAUUUCCAGCUCUGCUUUAUUUCAGAGACUCCAUUUGCUUUACUGCAGACACCUUGUCUGGGUCUGGCUUAACAACAUCCACUGUGAGACUCCUAUGAUGCUCUUCUCAGGGUUGAGCCAAACACCUUUUUCACAUGUUCUCUGCAGCAUUGCGCAGAGAUGAACAUCAUGCCCUUCUUUUGUGCUGCCAUAGAUGAGAAUGUCAUCUACAAUCGCCACAGCACCAUUCAGUCCUUUUUAAGACUGUUAUGCUGGAACUCAUCUCGGGCAGAGAUUAGGCCAAAGGGCAAAUGACCAAACCUGUAGCGGACAAAGACUGAACUGAAAGUUUUCAGAUAUGAGGCCUCUUCAGUGAGUUUAAUGGUUUAUUCAAAACACUAAAGUUACAUGCUCCUGCAAGCUUGACUGUGAUCUAGUUUUGGCAUAGUGUAGUAUCAGCGUUUUAUUGCUUUGUUGAGGUCCCUCGGGUCAAGGCAUACUUUGAGCAUUGACCCGGUCUGUUGGCUCUGUCACUUUGGUUAUGAUGCCUUGUUUUUCCAUACUGUCAAGUUCUCCUUUUAGUCUGCCAUGUAGAGGAAGGGGUUUUCUCUGGUUUAAGAAGAAUUGAACAUUCAUCUGGGAAUAUCCAGUGCCAGAAUAAACAUCAGCAAACUCCUCCAUUAUGGGCUUGUGUUCAUCCCUAGGUGUACUUACUGAUAACACUGGAUUAAUUAAGCCCAGAUAUGCUUUUAAACCUAACACUGGUGGGGCCUGAGUGUCAACAAUGUCAAAUUCCAUGUGCCUUUUACAUUAUGCUGAUGUCCUUCAUAGCCAUUGAGGCAGUGAGGGGUAGGCUAAGUUACGCACUCGUCCUUUAGGCACAUUGACAUUCACCUGCGCACCCAUGUCUAAUUUGAAUUUUAUCUCAGUGCCACGGUUUCCAACCAGUUUGUCUACAAAUGCUUGCUCUGUGUCAGCAAUUUGUGGUUAAUAAACAGUUUGUCAUGCA